GACGAACGCUGGCGGCGUGCCUAAUACAUGCAAGUCGAGCGAGCUUGCCUAGAUGAAUUUGGUGCUUGCACCAAAUGAAACUAGAUACAAGCGAGCGGCGGACGGGUGAGUAACACGUGGGUAACCUGCCCAAGAGACUGGGAUAACCCCCUGAUACAGAUGCUAAUACCGGACAACAACACUAGACGCAUGUCUAGAGUCUAAAAGAUGGUUCUGCUGUCACUCUGGGAUGGACCUGCGGUGCAUUAGCUAGUUGGUAAGGCAACGGCUUACCAAGGCAAUGAUGCAUAGCCGAGUUGAGAGACUGAUCGGCCACAUUGGGACUGAGACACGGCCCAGACUCCUACGGGAGGCAGCAGUAGGGAAUCUUCCACAAUGGACGCAAGUCUGAUGGAGCAACGCCGCGUGAGUGAAGAAGGGUUUCGGCUCGUAAAGCUCUGUUGGUAGUGAAGAAAGAUAGAGGUAGUAACUGGCCUUUAUUUGACGGUAAUUACUUAGAAAGUCACGGCUAACUACGUG
rnacentral:rRNA from 1 species